CUACGGGUUGCUGCAGUAAGGAAUAUUGCGCAAUGGAGGCAACUCUGACGCAGCCAUGCCGCGUGCAGGAAGAAGGCCUUAUGGGCCGUAAACUGCUUUUAUUUAGGAAUAAACCCCCGAACGUGUUCGGGGCUGAAGGUACUAAACGAAUAAGCACCGGCUAACUCCGUGCCAGCAGCCGCGGUAAUACGGAGGGUGCAAGCGUUAUCCGGAUUUAUUGGGUUUAAAGGGUGCGCAGGCGGGCUAUUAAGUCAGUGGUGAAAUCCCGGGGCUCAACUCCGGAACUGCCAUUGAUACUGAUAGUCUUGAGUUUGGUUGAAGUGGGCGGAAUGUAGCAUGUAGCGGUGAAAUGCAUAGAUAUGCUACAGAACACCAAUCGCGAAGGCAGCUCACUAAGCCAAAACUGACGCUCAUGCACGAAAGCGUGGGGAUCAAACAGGAUUAGAUACCCGAGUAGUC
rnacentral:rRNA from 1 species